rnacentral:rRNA from 1 species
AGCGAACGUUAGCGGCAGGCCUAACACAUGCAAGUUGAGCGAGAAAGAGGGGUUCGCCCCUCGAGUAAAGCGGCGUACGGGUGAGUAACACGUGGGUAAUCUGCCCUUCGAUGGGGGACAACAACCCGAAAGGGUUGCUAAUACCGCAUACGUCGGCGUGCUCUGCGGAGCGCGUCGGGAAAGGUGCCCUCUACUUGUAAGGUACCGUCGAAGGAGGAGCCCGCGUCCCAUCAGCUAGUUGGUAGGGUAAAAGCCUACCAAGGCAAAGACGGGUAGCUGGUCUGAGAGGAUGAUCAGCCACACUGGGACUGAGACACGGCCCAGACACCUACGGGUGGCAG